AUGAUCCACCCGCCUCAGCCUCCCAAGGUGCUGGGAUCACAGGCAUGAGCCACCGCACCCGACCUGUUAUUUGCUUUUAGAAGUUCUAGUACAGAAAUUUUGUAACUUCACCUUCUACUCACAAAAUAUCUAACUUUUCUUUAUAACUUAGCUUUCUUGUGUUUACUACAUGAUAGAGAAUAUAUUUGACCUUUUAGUUCAGUAAUUUAUCCUUUUUUUAAAUUUAGUUUUAUUUUAGAUUGAGGGGAACACUUGCAGGUUCAUUACAUGCAUAUAUUGAGUAAAGGUGGACUUUGUGCUUCUCGUGUAUCCACCACCCAUAUAGUGUCUAUUGUGCCCAGUAGGUAAUUUUUCUUUAAUAACAGUAAAGUUUUGCUUAUUUGUUGUAUUAUUAUUAUUGCAGUAGUUUUAUUUAUAAUUGCAGAGAACUUUUGGUGUCUUCCUCAAUUUUCAGUGUCAGAGUAGCAAAUUAACUGGGGCAUAGUCCAAACUUCUGAGAUCCUUGGAGGGAAAUAUCACAGUGGCCUUGGAAUAUGUCUUUUGAGAAGAUUAGCAUGAGCACUGAACUAUAACAAAAG
rnacentral:lncRNA from 1 species